rnacentral:rRNA from 1 species
UACGUAGGGUGCAAGCGUUAAUCGGAAUUACUGGGCGUAAAGCGUGCGCAGGCGGUUUUGUAAGUCUGUCGUGAAAGCCCCGGGCUCAACCUGGGGAAUUGCGAUGGAGACUGCAAGGCUUGAAUCUGGCAGAGGGGGGUAGAAUCCACGUGUAGCAGUGAAAUGCGUAGAGAUGUGGAGGAACACCGAUGGCGAAGGCAGCCCCCUGGGUCAAGAUUGACGCUCAUGCACGAAAGCGUGGGGAGCAAACAGG